rnacentral:rRNA from 1 species
CUGGCUCAGGACAACGCUGGCGGCGUGCCUAAUACAUGCAAGUCGAACGGUCUUUCUAUGGAAGCUUGCUCCACUGAGAAGAUAGUGGCGAACGGGUGAGUAACACGUGGGUAACCUGCCCAUAAGAGGGGGAUAACAUCCGGAAACGGGUGCUAAUACCGCAUAGUUUUCUUGAUCGCAUGAUCGGGAAAGGAAAGACGGCCUUUGUGCUGUCGCUUAUGGAUGGACCCGCGGCGUAUUAGUUAGUUGGUGAGGUAACGGCUCACCAAGACGAUGAUACGUAGCCGACCUGAGAGGGUGAUCGGCCACAUUGGGACUGAGACACGGCCCAAACUCCUACGGGAGGCAGCAGUAGGGAAUCUUCCGCAAUGGACGAAAGUCUGACGGAGCAACGCCGCGUGAGUGAAGAAAAGGUUUUCGGAUCGUAAAACUCUGUUGUCAGAGAAGAACAAGUUGGAGAGUAACUGCUCCAGCCUUGACGGUAUCUGACCAGAAAGCCACGGCUAACUACGUGCCAGCCGCCGC